AUGAUUUGCAAGACUCUGGUCACAUGCCCACACCUGUGGCUUCUGAAGCAGAGCACCAGCAGUGACAGUCCCACCAGAACCGCAUGGAAUAGAAAACUGUGCAUUUCCCUAAGGAAAGGGAAUGCCAGAGAAGGGCAGAAGGGAAAUCAGGAAGACAAAACGUGUCUUCAUGUUGGAGUGGACCUUUCCUCUAUCUGUCAACAGAAUGGAUAAAUUGUGGAAGAGUAAUAUCAGAAUACUACACAUCAGUAAAAAACAACAAACUUCUGCUACAAACAAUCAACAUCGAUGAAUCUUUCAGGCAAAAGGGCAAAGAAAAGUAUUGGUCUUCCAAAACAAAUAGAGGACGGAGCUGCUGCUGUUGCAUGGUGUCUAGAAACUCAGACAACUUCAUCAUUCCAUAUUUGCAUCCAAGAGAGAGAAAGAAAAACUACAAUCAUUUUCCAUUUACCCAUCAACCCAUCAACCUCCAAAUAAAGGCUAUUAAAAAACAAUCAAAGUGUGAAGAGGGCAGAAAAUGUGAUGAAGAGAUUCUUUGGAGAAAGUAGCUGCCACUGUUACCUUGGGAUCUGCCUAUAGUCCUCACAGAGCUUGCCCUUGCAGGAUAGAACAUAGGAGUCUGGGAGUCUGCAAGAAGAGACAGGGUCUCACUAUGUUGCCCCAGUUGGCCUUGAACUGCUGGACUCAAGGGAUCCUCCUGCCUCAGCAUCCUGAGUAGCUGGGUCUACAGGCAUGAACCACCAGGCCCAGAACCCUGUCUUUUGAAAGCCAUAUGCGAUCUGUCUGCCCUGAAGUGACUACUUCAUCUCCAACCAGCCCUUGGCUGGCAAAGUCAGGAAGACUCCAGUCUUUCCUGAAGACCAGGGGAGAGUUUAUAACUCUAGCAUCAAAGUCAGCAGCUGUUCAUCUAGAAGACAACUUCCCAAAAGUCAAUGUCUUUGCCUGAAGCUUUUCUUCCCAGAUCUCCUAUGGUGAAACAACCAAAGGGAAGAAGAAUGUGGGCAGCCCUCAGUAAGACAGGAGAUGAGCAUCAACAUUGACCCAUUCUUUCUUCCAGUCCUCGAUGCUUACCUUGUACAUUCUUCUUUGUCUUCCGACUCAGUGCCUUUAGGGUAUGGACGUUGCCUGGUCCCACACAAGCCAAGCAUCAAAUGGAUGGCUCAACAAGGAGGCCAAGACCAGCUAAUGUUUAGUGAGCACCCAAAGGGGCCACACUGGAGAGAACAGCACAGCUCCGUCUGAGAAACAGCUGUUCCUUCCUGCCUGAGAGGCAGAGUGAUAGAAGAUAUCACAGAAUGUUGCUGCUUUGUCUUCCACCCUGAACCCUCCACGACCUCCCUGUAGCUUCCUGAUUUUAAGUAGACAUCAAAUGAUUCUUAAUCCUUUCUGGGUCUUGGAACGAUUUGAAAAUUGUCAACAGUACUGGGAUUCCCAGAAUAAUGCACAUAUGUACAUACUCAGAUAUUCCCCAAGCCCUGGAUAUAAUUUUAAGGGAGUUCACAGACCACACUCCCCCACCCAUCUGUGGACCCAGAUUCUGUGGGUUCGAGAUUCAGAAGCCCUGUUUCUAGGCAGGCCCUCUGUUGCUAACGCCCCUCGAGAACAUCACCCUAGAUGAUUAUCCCUUCUUCCUCCACUCCUUCCCACCUUCUCCAACUGCUGGGUUUCAGCACAAAGAUUGCUUGCCAGUUAAACUGGCACCAUGGACCGCACAGUAGUUGUUUCUUGGGUCUAGAGGAAACAGCCAGAUUCCUUUAAGUAAAUCAUGUCUUAGUUAUUGAUUGUCUCCACUUGAAGUUUUUGACAAUCUCUGAUUAAAUCAUAAACCACUGCAUCCUCC
ensembl:lncRNA LINC02290 long intergenic non-protein coding RNA 2290